UACGUAGGGAGCAAGCGUUGUCCGGAUUUACUGGGCGUAAAGAGCGCGCAGGCGGUCGUUCAAGUCGAGUGUGAAAGCCCCCGGCUCAACUGGGGAGGGUCAUUCGAUACUGAUCGACUGGAAGGCAGGAGAGGGAAGCGGAAUUCCCGGUGUAGUGGUGAAAUGCGUAGAUAUCGGGAGGAACACCAGUGGCGAAGGCGGCUUCCUGGCCUGUUCUUGACGCUGAGGCGCGAAAGCUAGGGGAGCAAACGGG
rnacentral:rRNA from 1 species